rnacentral:misc_RNA from 1 species
UAGUCAUAGAUAUAGUAAAAAAAAGUAGAUAAUGCGCGGCCUUUGUUGUUAGUGAAGCCACAAAACUCGGCUCCUUCAAGUAAAUACACGCGCUCACGCACACAUAUGCAUCAAACUACGCUCAUUUUCGUUAGUAUGUCACGAGGCUUCAUACAGUAACUUUGCUUAUAAAAUGCCGUCUUGUGUGAUUAAAUGGUGCAAAAACAAUACCAAAGUAAACAAAAAAUCUGAAGGAAUAUCGUUUCACACGUUUCCAACGAAUAUUUUAAUAAGAGGUGAAUGGGUAGCAGCUGUAAGACUGAGAAAAUGACCACGAUUAUGCUGGCCAUGCGCAUAAAGUCAAUUUA